UACGUAGGUGGCAAGCGUUGUCCGGAAUUAUUGGGCGUAAAGAGCUCGUAGGCGGUUUGUUGCGUCGGCUGUGAAAACCUGAGGCUCAACCUCAGGCCUGCAGUCGAUACGAGCAGACUAGAGUGUUGCAGGGGAGACUGGAAUUCCUGGUGUAGCGGUGAAAUGCGCAGAUAUCAGGAGGAACACCGGUGGCGAAGGCGGGUCUCUGGGCAACAACUGACGCUGAGGAGCGAAAGCGUGGGGAGCGAACAGG
rnacentral:rRNA from 1 species